GACGUAGGAUGCAAGCGUUGUCCGGAUUUAUUGGGCGUAAAGAGUUCGUAGGUGGUUCGUUAAGUCUGGUGUAAAAGACUGGGGCUCAACCCUGGGAUCGCACUGGAUACUGGCGGACUGGAGUGUGGUAGAGGCAAGCGGAAUUCCCAGUGUAGCGGUGGAAUGCGUAGAGAUCCGGAAGAACACCGGUGGCGAAGGCGGCCUGCUGGGCAGUUGCUGACACUGAGGCGCGACAGCGUGGGGAGCAAACAGG
rnacentral:rRNA from 1 species